GUGGGGAAUAUUGGGCAAUGGGGGAAACCCUGACCCAGCAACGCCGCGUGAAGGAAGAAGGCUUUCGGGUUGUAAACUUCUUUUACCAGGGAAAAACACAAUGAUGGUACCUGGAGAAAAAGCUACGGCUAACUACGUGCCAGCAGCCGCGGUAAUACGUAGGUGGCAAGCGUUGUCCGGAAUUACUGGGUGUAAAGGGCGUGUAGGCGGAACUACAAGUCAGGGGUGAAAACUAUGGGCUUAACCCAUAGCCUGCCUUUGAAACUGUAGUCCUUGAGUGCUGGAGAGGCAAUUGGAAUUCCUAGUGUAGCGGUGAAAUGCGUAGAUAUUAGGAGGAACACCAGUGGCGAAGGCGAAUUGCUGGACAGUAACUGACGCUGAGGCGCGAAAGCGUGGGGAGCAAACAGGAUUAGAUACCCCAGUAGUCC
rnacentral:rRNA from 1 species